rnacentral:rRNA from 1 species
AGAGUUUGAUCCUGGCUCAGAAUCAACGCUGGCGGCGUGCCUAACACAUGCAAGUCGAACGAGAAAGUGGGGGCAACUCCAUGAGUACAGUGGCAGACGGGUGAGUAACACGUGAACAACCUACCCUCGAGUGGGGAAUAACACCGCGAAAGCGGUGCUAAUACCGCAUAACAUCUCCGGGUCGCAUGGUCUGGAGAUCAAAAGCGAAAGUUGCUUGAGGAGGGGUUCGCGCCUGAUUAGCUAGUUGGUGAGGUAACGGCCCAUCAAGGCAACGAUCAGUAGCCGGCCUGAGAGGGCGAACGGCCACACUGGAACUGAGACACGGUCCAGACUCCUACGGGAGGCAGCAGUGGGGAAUUUUGCGCAAUGGGCGAAAGCCUGACGCAGCAACGCCGCGUGGAGGAUGAAGGCCUUCGGGUCGUAAACUCCUGUCAGUGGGGACGAAAGCCUCGCAAGAGGUCUGACUGUACCCGCUGAGGAAGCCACGGCUAACUCCGUGCCAGCAGCCGCGGUAAUACGGAGGUGGCAAGCGUUGUUCGGAAUUACUGGGCGUAAAGGGCGCGUAGGCGGCUUGGCAAGUCAGAUGUGAAAGCCCCGGGCUCAACUCGGGAAUUGCAUCUGAAACUGCUUUGCUUGAGUCCUGGAGGGGAUAGUGGAAUUCCCAGUGUAGCGGUGAAAUGCGUAGAUAUUGAGAGGAACACCUGCGGCGAAGGCGGCUAUCUGGACAGUGACUGACGCUGAGGCGCGAAAGCUAGGGGAGCGAACGGGAUUAGAUACACCGGUAGUCCUAGCUGUAAACGAUGAGCACUUGGUGUUGGGAGA